rnacentral:rRNA from 1 species
AUUGAACGCUGGCGGCAGGCUUAACACAUGCAAGUCGAGCGGAGAGAGGCAGCUUGCUACUGAUCUUAGCGGCGGACGGGUGAGUAAUGCGUAGGAAUCUGCCUAUUAGUGGGGGACAACAUUUCGAAAGGAAUGAUAAUACCGCAUAAGUCCUACGGGAGAAAGCAGGGGAUCUUCGGACCUUGCGCUAAUAGAUGAGCCUAAGUCGGAUUAGAUAGUUGGUGGGGUAAAGGCCUACCAAGGCGACGAUCUGUAGCGGGUCUGAGAGGAUGAUCCGCCACACUGGGACUGAGACACGGCCCAGACUCCUACGGGAGGCAGCAGUGGGGAAUAUUGGACAAUGGGCGGAAGCCUGAUCCAGCCAUGCCGCGUGUGUGAAGAAGGCCUUAUGGUUGUAAAGCACUUUAAGCGAGGAGGAGGCUACUUUAGUUAAUACCUAGAGAUAGUGGACGUUACUCGCAGAAUAAGCACCGGCUAACUCUGUGCCAGCCGCCGCCGUAACAC